GAUGAACGCUGGCGGCGUGCCUAAUACAUGCAAGUCGAGCGAACAGACGAUGCUCUUGCUCCUCUGACGUUAGCGGCGGACGGGUGAGUAACACGUGGAUAACCUACCUAUAAGACUGGGAUAACUUCGGGAAACCGGAGCUAAUACCGGAUAAUAUAUUGAACCGCAUGGUUCAAUAGUGAAAGACGGUUUUGCUGUCACUUAUAGCUGGAUCCGCGCCGCAUUAGCUAGUUGGUAAGGUAACGGCUUACGAAGGCAACGAUGCGUAGCCGACCUGAGAGGGUGAUCGGCCACACUGGAACUGAGACACGGUCCAGACUCCUACGGGAGGCAGCAGUAGGGAAUCUUCCGAAAUGGGCGAAAGCCUGACGGAGCGACGCCGCGUGAGUGAUGAAGGUCUUCGGAGCGUAAAACUCUGUUAUUAGGGAAGAACAAAUGUGUAAGUAACUAUGCACGUCUUGACGGUACCUAGUCAGAAAGCCACGGCUAACUACGUG
rnacentral:rRNA from 1 species